CCCGCGAGCACGGGUGGGUCGGUGCACAGCGCCGCCCCCCAGGACCUGCCCGCACGCGACGGGGCUGGGAGCCCUACCAAAAAGCUGCUCAACUAUCUGGCCCUUUUGCCCGGAUCCUGCAGCCCCCACCCCGUCCUCGCCCCAGGCUUAAUUCUGUCUGAACGGGAGCCCGGUACAUUUAGGAGCAGUGGGGGAACCGCAGGGUGGAGGCUGUCCUUGAACCUGUCCCUGCUGCACCGCUGAAAAGGUCUCGAAACACCGGGCUUGUCGGCAGGCACGUCUCCCGGCUGUUCCUAGAGAGGACACAGCAGCCAAGGGCAAGGCUGCCCACGUAGCCCGGGAGGAGCGGUCUAGAAAACGCUAACAACGAAAAAAAAAAAAAAGCCUAAACCCAGAGCCUGCCGGAAGUGAAGCAAACGACCUUAGCCUUUUUAACUGGCGUGGGAGGUGAUGUGAACUGGGAAAAGGGAAGAGGCCAAACUGGGGGGAACAAAGCAAGUGUCAACUACUAGUAAAGACACCUAUACACAAGAAAUCGACAAAUAGUUCUACAAAACUGUGGAAUCAAAUAAACUACAUAGGAAGAAACAUCUUAAUGCCAGAGCUCAAACUCCAGCAACAAGCCCAAAGGAGACAGCAAUACAUGGCCAGAAUUUAAACCCAGUUCUACAGAAGUGAAAGCCUAAUAUACUAACUCAUGGAGACAAACUACUUCUUACCCAAGAACCUUGUUUGCCUUGCCUUCAAGACCAUUUUAUAUAGGGAAAUAUGCAGUACAUGACCUCUGAAUUCAAACCCCAACCCCAACAUUACCACGAAAUCUCCAGACAGGAUCAUGGACAAGCAUCUCACAUACACCCCCCAUUUUCAAAAGAAUAUUAAUGAUAAACAUAAUUUUUAAAAAUCUUUGUACAAUUUUAUACAUUUCAGAAUAACUGUUGUGAAACUUAAUGGAGCAAUAUAUGAAGAUACCAAACAUUUUUUAUCUUUGAAGGGAAAGGGAAGGAGUUCUCUAGAAAUUUUAAUCUUUUCUGGCUGUCAAUCAUCCUGCUCCUGUCAAAGUGAGCUGGAUGCAGUUUUCUAAGGAGACAGUCAGUGCCACUCCUGUCAACAUGAGGUGUUCCUCCUCCAUCACGCGCAAGUCAUACUGCCUUCACAGUGCUCCCAACCUUUGCUGGCCUGGGAGUUUGCAUACCACACUGCCACCAGGAAGAUCACUCUCCUUUCAAAGGACCUACUUGGAGAUAUCAGGAACAAACUGCAGUCGAUGGUGGAAAAACCCUGGAGAGUAAAACAGUGCUAAAAAGUGAUCAUUUGAUUUAACGCAAAGUCAGCCAUUGGGAAUUGGAAAUCUAGCAUUUCCAUGAGCAAUCAACAGCAAGUAAUCUGGAUACACCGAUUUAAUGUCUGGAUACAGCUUAACAGAACAAUAAAAGCCUUUGUAAACGCUCUAGUUUUGAAAAGGUACUUAUCCAACAGAACACAAAGGCUCUUUUGGAAUGGCUACAAUCCAUCAUAUAGAGCUAUAUUUAGGUCUAUACAUGACAGAAGAGCCAUUAUCAUCAAUCCAACUGGCACUUAUGUAAUCAAGCCACAUGGGAUUUGUGCUAGACAAGGCUCCAUAUCUUACUUGGCAUAUUAGAACUAUAUUAUGCAACUCGGCCCCCACCUCUUCGCUGUCUUCCCAAUCAAAUUCAUUUUUCAAAAAGCUGCUCCCAAAUUUUCAUUUUUAACAUGCUGCAAGUUUUAGUACUGACAAGGUAUAAUUGCAUAAUAGCUGUUUACAGGGAGAAUCUGAAGAAGAUAGUCAGGCACCUGGGAGACAGUUUUUGGAUUCUGAAGCAUUUGAUACUGGAGAGGGAAUACAUCCUCCUCUUUCCCUCUCCCCUUUGGGCAGAGGCAGAAGAGCCUAAGGGAUUGCCUACAUGAGUGACUUUUGCAUUAGUAUAGCUACACCAAUAUAGCGAAACCAUCGCAAACUCCCAACACAGAUAUUCUGCACUGGAAUAAAGCAGGUCUUAUAAGUGGGCUGUUAGCCAACUGACUGUAACCACACAGACCCAGGUUCAGACACGCAGUUUGGCUAUUUUACAUCAGGGAUAUGAAAUAUUAACAGUAUCCGCACAAGCAGAACAAAUCAUGACGCACCACUGGUAUGAUAUUUUAAAGGGAUGGUCCCCCUCUUGGUCUUCAACUUUAAAAAUUAUGGUACAUCCAAUUGUUGUUUUCUUUAUUCUCAUAAAUUUAAUGUUAAUUGUAAUGUGUGGCAUGUGCUGCUGGAUGAAAAGGCUGUAUUUUAAGCUAAAACCACAAGCUCACAUUGUUUCCCAAUAUAUAUAGCCUUAAAACAAUUACAUAAAGCAUGAGCCAUUCAAUACCCCUGGACUGACAAUGUAGAACUGACGAAUGAAAUUAUUUUAAUUGUUCACUUUAUCAUUGUAACAUCUGUUCACCAUUUCAUUACACUUGCCUACAUUGUAACGUCUGUUCACUAUUGUAAUUCAAACCCCAUUUUAAAACGCUUACUCCAUUUUGUGGGAGGCUUGUUGCUGCAGCCUUCAUUUUUGCAAGCCCUGCUGUAAUCUUAUUAGUUUAGAUGUGUGAAUGAGGUAUGUGUGGGUGAUAGAAUCAACCUCCAGCGCCAGCCUGUCCUGAUGAAAUAAAGUUCAAAUACCAACAGCUGAAGAGGCAGACAACAGCCCUAAACAAAGUAAGAAAAGUCCACUCUAAAAAGAAAAGGACAAAAGAACAACAGAAGAAAGAUCAAAGCCAGGUUCAAGGCUGAAAGUCACAUCCGCAAUUGACGGGUGAUCAAUCACCAAACCCAGAGGCAGCGUGACACAGCAAGACCCAUAGACUUUGAAUUCAAACUAAAAGCCUAUUAAAAAGAUGGGUGAGAUGAGACUUUGGGUAACUUUCUGCUAUCAACAUCGAGGGGCAUCGGUGCACGCCCGACAGAGACCCAGGUCCUUCUCGUGCCCAGCUUUCGUGGCCAGUUAGCUGCCACGAGCUACGAUCCCAAGCUGUGAACUGAAGCUACAUUCAGGACUGGUAACUAUCGAGCAGCUGCAGAAC